GACGAACGCUGGCGGCGUGCCUAAUACAUGCAAGUUGAGCGCUGAAGGUUGGUACUUGUACCAACUGGAUGAGCAGCGAACGGGUGAGUAACGCGUGGGGAAUCUGCCUUUGAGCGGGGGACAACAUUUGGAAACGAAUGCUAAUACCGCAUAAAAACUUUAAACACAAGUUUUAAGUUUGAAAGAUGCAAUUGCAUCACUCAAAGAUGAUCCCGCGUUGUAUUAGCUAGUUGGUGAGGUAAAGGCUCACCAAGGCGAUGAUACAUAGCCGACCUGAGAGGGUGAUCGGCCACAUUGGGACUGAGACACGGCCCAAACUACUACGGGAGGCAGCAGGAGGGAAUCUUCGGCAAUGGACGAAAGUCUGACCGAGCAACGCCGCGUGAGUGAAGAAGGUUGUCGGAUCGUAAAACUCUGUUGGUAGAGAAGAACGUUGGUGAGAGUGGAAAGCUCAUCAAGUGACGGUAACUACCCAGAAAGGGACGGCUAACUACGUG
rnacentral:rRNA from 1 species